UUAAGCUUCCCGCCUGGGGAGUACGGUCGCAGAUUAAAACUCAAAGGAAUUGACGGGGGCCCACAAGCGGUGGAGCAUGUGGUUUAAUUGAAGCAACGCGCAGAACCUUACCAGCCCUUGACAUCCCGGUCGCGGUUACCAGAGAUGGUUUCCUUCAGUUCGCUGGACCGGAGACAGGUGCUGCAUGGCUGUCGUCAGCUCGUGUCGUGAGAUGUUGGGUUAAGUCCCGCAACGAGCGCAACCCUCGCCCUUAGUUGCCAUCAUUCAGUUGGGCACUCUAAGGGGACUGCCGGUGAUAAGCCGAGAGGAAGGUGGGGAUGACGUCAAGUCCUCAUGGCCCUUACGGGCUGGGCUACACACGUGCUACAAUGGCGGUGACAGUGGCAGCGACCUCGCGAGAGGUAGCUAAUCCCAAAAACCGUUCAGUCGGAUGUAUUGCACCUCGAGUCAGAGCGGACGCAUGCAGUCACUAACCUCGACGAAACA
rnacentral:rRNA from 1 species